CAUAAGAUGAGAAGUUUCCUCCUCUUCUAGUCACUGAAAGAGAAUGCAUACAAUUGUUCUUAAUUCUUCCUUGGUAGACUUUUCCUAGGAAACCAUGUAGGCCAGGAGAUUUCUCCUUUGGCAGACUUUAAAUUACAAAUUCAGUUUCUUUAAUACUUAUAGGGAUAUGGGGUGAGUUUGUGAUAGUUUGUAUUUUUGUAGGAAUUGGUUCAUUUUAUCUAAAUUGUGAAAUUUUUAUGUGUCUCGUUAUUCAUAGUAAUUCCAUAUUCUUUUGGUAUCUUCAGGGCACAUAGUAACAGCUUCUGUUUUAAUUCAUGAUAUUUGUAGUUUGUGUUUUCUUUUUUUGUUGUUUGUUUGAUCAGUGUUGUUUUAAAGAAACAGACUUUUCUUUCUCAUUUAUUUUUCUAUUUUCAAUUUUACUGGUUUCUGCUCUUUAUUAUGUCCUUUAUUCCACCUGCUUUGGGCUUAUUUUGCUCUUUUUCUAGAUUCUUGAGGUAAAAGCUUAGAUUAUUAUUUGAGACUUUUUCUCUUUUCCAAAAUAAGCGUUUAGUGCUAAAAAAUGUUCUUUUGGCACUGCUUUAGCUGUGUCUCACAGAUUUUAAUAUGUUGUCUUUCCAUUUUGAUUAAGUUCUAUGUGUUUUUAUUUCCCUGGAGGCGUCUUCGUUCAACCAUGGAGAGGGAGAAUUCUCAGUUAUCUUUUUGUCAUUUCUUUCUAGUUUGGCUCCGUUGUGGUCAGAGCCAUGUUCUAUGGUUUCACGGGUGGUGGUGGUUUUUAAUUUGGUGAGUUUGGCCCUAGAUGUUCUUUGACUGCUCCCACCAGCAUCUGAAAGAGUGUGUGAUCUGCAGCUGUUAGGUGCCGUGUGCUGUUGGUACCAGUGUUGCUUAGUUCCCGUUGGCCAGUGACGCCGAGUUCUUCUGUACCCUGGCUUAUUUCUACUCACUUUUGGGAAAGGGAUGUUGAAGUUUUCAGCUUUGACAGUGGACUCUCUGUUUCUCCCUUCAGGUCAGGUGUUGGUUGGCAUUUUUGCAGCUCUGCUGUUUGGUGCAUACACAUUUACGAUCUGCUGUUUUUGUUUGUUGGGUGUUUUUUUUUUUUUUUUUGAUCCUUCUAACCUUAUGUAAUAUUCACCUCUGUCUCCGGUAAUCUUUGCUCUGAAGCCUAUUUUAUCUAAUAUCAAAAUUCCACUGCUAGUUUUUGAUUAAUGAUUAUAUGGUACAUCUUUUUACAUUCUUUUUCUUUUAAUCUGUCUUUAACAGUGAGUUUCUUGGAGACAGCACAUAGUUGGGUCAUGUUAUUUUAUCCAGUCAGCCCCUCUUUGACUUUCAAGUACUGGAGUGGGGUGCCAUUGCCUUCUCUGAAUAUGCUAUCUAGGUUGGUCAUAACUUUUCUACUAAGGAGUAAGCCUCUUUUAAUUUCAUGGCUGCAAUCACCAUCUGCAGUGAUUUUGGAGCCCAGAAAAAUAAAGUCAGCCACUGUUUCCCCAUCUAUUUGCCAUGAAGUGAUGGGACCGGAUGCAAACAGGUAGCUUUUUGAGUGAAAAAAACAAAUCACUUAAAAUUUUCUUUCUGUAAAGAAUUCCAAAAGACACAUCCUUCUUCCUGUACCUGAAAGUCAAAUAAAUAAAAGGCAAGAAUAGAGUCAUGUUUGUCUACAACCAGAAUGAAGGGGUGCUUACUGCUGCCCGACAGAGACUGGAGUUGGGACUGUGUUUGUAUUGGCAGCAUCAGUCAUGUACACUAGCAGCCUCUAUUAAAAUGUAACUAUUAGCAAAUGAAAUUAAAUACUUCAGUUGCCUAGUAACUAAUCUGAUCUGAGAAAGAAGCAAAAAUAGAAUACAUAAAUUUAGAACUUUUAGGCCAUGUGCCAAGCAAGAUAUUCUUGCUUGAAUCCUUUGGAUCAUCUGCCAUUUGAAUAGAAGGAAGGAUGUUUUUAGUGUCAAAUCGGCAACAUUUGACCUUGCUUGCUGAAAGUGAAUCCCCUUUGAUGACUAGACACAUAUGAGAGAUAGGCAGGUUUCUCAAGGACUUCCACCUCCAUGAGACUCUGAAAUUGCCAAGUAGGGGUAGGAGCAGGAAGAAGCUUUGAGGGGGAUUACUAGGAAUUUAUUUUUCAGACUAAUUAAGAAGCCAAAGGGCAUUGAGUGAUUUAAGCCACCUGAUGCAGUUAGGGGGUAAAAAUGUAUAAAGUGUCUAUUUCAUCUAUUUCCAUAGAAAAAUGAAAUGUAUUUCCUCCCAAAGUGGCUUUUCAACAAGGCAGAAAAUUAAGGAACAGUUUAUGAUUGGGUAGUGCAUCAAGUAAUGACUUGGGUCAUAUAAUAUUGGAGUUUAAAGAAAUACCAUGAUAAAUAAAUUGACGUUCAGUGUGAUGUCAGUUACUUCAGGUAUUACUUUUUCCUGCUUCUUUGAAAAAAC
ensembl:lncRNA